rnacentral:pre_miRNA from 1 species
AAAUUACUCCCUCCGAUCCAUAUUAAUUGUCUCAAAUUUUCCCAAAUAUGGAUGUAUCUGUGACUACAAGCGUCUAGAUACAUGUAAUAUUUUAACAAUUAAUAUGGAUCGGAGGGAGUAACAC